GCCGAUCUAGCAAAAGUUCUCUGGUAGUACAAGACAAUGGGGGAACCUUGUAGUAGUUAGUUACAUGACCGGCAUUAGAAAAUGCGACUAUACCAAUCGCUACCGUUGUUUCUUUCUUACAGCUUCGAGGUUAUUGAUGCAGCUCGACUCGGGAUCAUAAACAAAACUAAGAAGAACAUGGGAAAACUACUACGCCAGUUCGGACGACAACUACGAGAGUGUAAUCUCAAAAACAUCUCACCUGACCCCUGGCACGGAUUGUUCGUUCAAUUCUCGAAGCGUAGAGCUAGCUUUUACACGGCUCACUUGAAAACUCUUACCGGAGCGCGCCAUCUAAGUUUGGCGACCCCUAAAUUUGGAGCCCCGAGUAGCUGCUCGGCCCACCCGUACCCAAUACGGCGUUGCAUAAGACAUUUAGAACCACCCUGUAUGUAUAACCUACGCUGAUUAUUAGAAGGGAAAAGCUGUCUGGGCCGUCUCAAGAGCACCAACGCUUGUUAGUUGUUACGUUACAGCUAUCUUGGUUUCAGCGGUCGUCAAGAGAGCAUCGUGUAUUUUAAGUUUGUUGUUUUUUUGUGUUAUUUAAUUCUGGUAGUAAUCUCUAAUCUUGAUCAUUUAUGUGUACCUUA